CGGGCAGGCGGUCUGUUAAGUCGUUUGUGAAAACCCGGGGCUCAACCCCGCGGAAUGCAGACGAUACUGGCAGACUGGAGACCGGUAGAGGCUAGCGGAAUUCCAGGUGUAGCGGUGGAAUGCGUAGAUAUCUGGAAGAACACCUGUGGCGAAGGCGGCUAGCUGGGCCGGGUCUGACGCUCAUCCGCGAAAGCGUGGGGAGCAAACA
rnacentral:rRNA from 1 species